rnacentral:rRNA from 1 species
UACAGAGGGUGCAGGCGUUAAUCGGAAUUACUGGGCGUAAAGGGUGCGUAGGUUGUUUGAUAAGUUAGGUGUGAAAGUCCCGGGCUCAACCUGGGGAUUGCGCCUAAUACUGUUUAACUAGAGUACUGUAGAGGAAAGUGGAAUUUCCGGUGUAGCGGUGAAAUGCGUAGAUAUCGGAAGGAACACCAGUGGCGAAGGCGACUUUCUGGACAGAUACUGACACUGAGGCACGAAAGCGUGGGGAGCAAACAGG